rnacentral:rRNA from 4 species
UAAGCGGAGGAAAAGAAACUAACAAGGAUUCCCUUAGUAACUGCGAGUGAAGCGGGAAAAGCUCAAAUUUAAAAUCUGGCGGUCUCUGGCCGUCCGAGUUGUAAUCUAGAGAAGUGCUUUCCGCGUUGGACCGUGUACAAGUCUCUUGGAAUAGAGCAUCAUAGAGGGUGAGAAUCCCGUCUCUGACACGGACUACCAGUGCUUUUGCGAUGCGCUCUCAAAGAGUCGAGUUGUUUGGGAAUGCAGCUCAAAAUGGGUGGUAAAUUCCAUCUAAAGCUAAAUAUUGGCGAGAGACCGAUAGCGAACAAGUACCGUGAGGGAAAGAUGAAAAGAACUUUGGAAAGAGAGUUAAACAGUACGUGAAAUUGUUGAAAGGGAAACGCUUGAAGUCAGUCGCGUCGUCCAGGGAUCAACCUUGCGUUUAUUCGUUGGGUGCACUUCCUGUUUGACGGGUCAGCAUCAAUUCUGACCAUCGGACAAGGGUCGGAGGAAUGUGGCAUCCUCGGAUGUGUUAUAGCCUCUGGUCGCAUGCGAUGGUUGGGAUUGAGGAACUCAGCACGCCGAAAGGCCGGGUCUGUUGACCACGUUCGUGCUUAGGAUGCUGGCAUAAUGGCUUUA